rnacentral:rRNA from 1 species
AGAACGAACGCUGGCGGCGUGCCUAACACAUGCAAGUCGAACGAGAAAGGGGCUUCGGCUCCGAGUAAAGUGGCGCACGGGUGAGUAACACGUAGGUAACCUGCCUCUAAGAUUGGGAUAACUUGUCGAAAGACGAGCUAAUACCAAAUAAGACCACGGUCUCCUCGGGGACAGAGGUCAAAGGUAGCCUCUAUUUAUAAGCUAUCGCUGAGAGAUGGGCCUGCGUACCAUUAGCUUGUUGGUGAGGUAACGCUCACCAAGGCAAAGAUGGUUAGCGUGGUCUGAGAGGAUGAUCAGCCACACUGGAACUGAGACACGGUCCAGACUCCUACGGGAGGCAGCAGUGGGGAAUAUUGCGGCAAGUGGGCGAAAGCCGUAGACGCAGCCAAGCCCGCGUGAGUGACUGAAGGCCUCGGUCGUAAGACUCUGUCGGUAGGAACGAAGUCGCGUACUUGGAGUGAACGAGCCUACGGG